GAUGAACGCUGGCGGCGUGCCUAAUACAUGCAAGUCGAGCGAACAGACGAGGAGCUUGCUCCUUUGACGUUAGCGGCGGACGGGUGAGUAACACGUAGGUAACCUACCUAUAAGACUGGGAUAACUUCGGGAAACCGGAGCUAAUACCGGAUAAUAUUUCGAACCGCAUGGUUCGAUAGUGAAAGAUGGCUUUGCUAUCACUUAUAGAUGGACCUGCGCCGUAUUAGCUAGUUGGUAAGGUAACGGCUUACCAAGGCAACGAUACGUAGCCGACCUGAGAGGGUGAUCGGCCACACUGGAACUGAGACACGGUCCAGACUCCUACGGGAGGCAGCAGUAGGGAAUCUUCCGCAAUGGGCGAAAGCCUGACGGAGCAACGCCGCGUGAGUGAUGAAGGUCUUCGGAUCGUAAAACUCUGUUAUUAGGGAAGAACAAACGUGUAAGUAACUGUGCACGUCUUGACGGUACCUAAUGAGAAAGCCACGGCUAACUACGUG
rnacentral:rRNA from 1 species